rnacentral:tRNA from 1 species
GCCUUCGUGGUGUAGUGGUCAGCACGCUUGACGCGUAACCGAGAGGUCCGUGGUUCGAUUCUUGGCGAAGGCG